AAACCAAUCUACUUCCCAUUUGCUUGGUCGGUCAAUACAAGAUAAAACUUCAAAACCCAAACCUCAUAAACCUCUCUCUCUCUCCCGUGUCCUAUGUUCUCUCUAAACCCCCAAAAUUGAAAACCCCAAUAUUUCUCUCUCUCUCGUCCUGCUCGAGCUCCACCGACGAACGACCGCCGGACUUGCGCUGCCAUUGACGCGCUGCUGCUGCUCGUCGGUGUUCGCCUAUUGUCGCGUCUUCCCUUCGCCGGAGUUUCAUCUGCCGACUGUCGUUCUAUAGCCCCUGUUCCUCUCUCCGUCGUCGUUGUGUUGUUGUUCGUGUUCGGUGCUGCUUUGCAUCGCACCACGAACCACCGUGAAUCACCGGAGCUCUCUGCUCCCUUGUUUGUCCCUGUUCUGUUGAGCAGAGGUAUAAUAUUACCUUAUCCUCUUAUUUUGGUUUUCUAUUUGUUAAUUAAUUCCAAGUUAUUGUUGUUGUUUGUUGUUGUCAUUGAUGUGCUAUUGUUAUUGUUGUUGUUCUAUUGAAUUGUUGUAGUAGUUAUUGGUGGUUGUUCUGUUUUUAUGGUACUGUUGUGGUUGGAGUUAUUGUUGGUCCUGGAUGUCUUAGUGUUGUUGUUGUUAUGAUUGUGUGUGGUUGAUGUUGCUGUUGUAGUUGUGGUGGUGGUUGGUGUGGUUGUGCUGAUUGGUGGUGUGAUUGUAUGUUGGUUAGAAUUGUGAUUAUUGGAUGGCAAGUUCAGUUUACAUAAGCUGUAAUCAGGGAGUUGAAUGAUAAACGUAUGUAGAUUUUAUGUUGAGAAGGUGUUAUUUUUCUGUGUCCUAAUUCUAUUAGUUUGAGAAUUGAGUAAUUAAGGUUAUUGUCAUAAAGCAUCUGUAAAUUAGGAAUUAGUUAUGGUCUCGCUCUGCAGUUUAGAUUAGUUUAAGAAUAGUUAUUAAUUAUCGUUAUUGUUAUGAGGUAAACUGUUGGAGAAUGAUUAUGGAGUUUGAAUCUCAUCUGGAGAAGAAGAUUAAUGAAGAAGGUUGUGUUGUUGAAAUUGGAAUGCGUUCAGGUUUGAUAUUCAGAGCUCAGAAUUCGAAGUGGAGCAAGAUCAAGGAGUUAUAAUGGCUUAAGGAUUAUGCUUGUAUUUUAGAUAGAUGAUUUAAGAACAUUUAUUUAUAUUUCAUUGUAUAUAAUAUUUGGGAAUAUUAUUGGAGAUAUUGGUGUAAUUAAGGAUAUAUUUCCGCUGCGAAGUAAUUUUAUUAAGAGUUAAUUCUAGUUUAUGAA